rnacentral:rRNA from 1 species
AUUGAACGCUGGCGGCAGGCCUAACACAUGCAAGUCGAACGAGUGGCGGACGGGUUAGUAAUGUCUGGGAAACUGCCUGAUGGAGGGGGAUAACUACUGGAAACGGUAGCUAAUACCGCAUACCAUCAAAUGACCCCAUAUGGGAUUAGCUUGUUGGUGGGGUAACGUCUCACCUAGGCGACGAUCGCUAUCUGGUCUGAGAGGAUGAACAGCCACGCUGGAACUGAGACAAGGUGCAGAGUCCUACGGGAGGCAGCAGUGGGGAAGAGUGCACAAUGGGCGCAAGCCUGAUGCAGCCAUGCAGCGUGUAGGAAGAAGGCCUUCGGGUUGUAAAGUACUUUCAGCGGGGAGGCGUUACCCGCAGAAGAAGGACCGGCGAACUCCGUGCCAGCCGCCGCGGUAAUUC